rnacentral:tRNA from 1 species
GCCGCAGUCGGAUAAACAGGAAUUCCGGGAAAUUAAGACCUUCCUGCUCGCAAGAGCUUCUGGGUUCAAAUCCCAGCUGCGGCG